rnacentral:rRNA from 1 species
GAUGAACGCUAGCGGGAGGCUUAACACAUGCAAGUCGAGGGGCAGCACGAGGUAGCAAUACUUUGGUGGCGACCGGCGCACGGGUGAGUAACGCGUAUGCAACCUACCCUGUACAGGGGGAUAACCCGGAGAAAUUCGGACUAAUACCCCAUAAAGAUAUUUAGAGGCAUCUUUGAAUAUUUAAAGUUACGACGGUACGGGAUGGGCAUGCGUGACAUUAGCUAGUUGGUAGGGUAACGGCCUACCAAGGCUUCGAUGUCUAGGGGUCCUGAGAGGGUGAUCCCCCACACUGGUACUGAGACACGGACCAGACUCCUACGGGAGGCAGCAGUGAGGAAUAUUGGUCAAUGGGCGCAAGCCUGAACCAGCCAUCCCGCGUGAAGGAAGAAUGCGCUAUGCGUUGUAAACUUCUUUUCCAGGGGAAGAAAACCUGAUACGUGUAUCGGCUUGCCGGUACCCUGGGAAUAAGCAUCGGCUAACUCCGUGCCAGCCGCCGCGGUAAGAC